GAUGAACGCUGGCGGCGUGCCUAAUACAUGCAAGUCGAGCGAACGGACGAGAAGCUUGCUUUUCUGAUGUUAGCGGCGGACGGGUGAGUAACACGUGGAUAACCUACCUAUAAGACUGGGAUAACUUCGGGAAACCGGAGCUAAUACCGGAUAAUAUUUUGAACCGCAUGGUUCAAAAGUGAAAGACGGUCUUGCUGUCACUUAUAGAUGGAUCCGCGCUGCAUUAGCUAGUUGGUAAGGUAAAGGCUUACCAAGGCAACGAUGCAUAACCGACCUGAGAGGGGGAUAGGCCACACUGGAACUGAGACACGGACCAGACUCCUACGGGAGGCAGCAGUAGGGAAUCUGCCGCAAUGGUCGAAAGCCUGACGGAGCAACGCCGCGUGAGUGAUGAAGGUCUUCGGAGCGUAAAACUCUGUUAUUAGGGAAGAACAUAUGUGUAAGUAACUGUGCACAUCUUGACGGUACCUAAUCAGAAAGCCACGGCUAACUACGUG
rnacentral:rRNA from 1 species